GCAGGAUGUAAUAUCUCUUGUUCCCCACUUGCCCGUGCGCAUUAUUCAAGCUGCAUAUUCUCAAGUGAUUUACUGAAGCAAAUCACAAGUGCAUAGCCAGAUAAAUAUCCAAAUGAACGUAUUCUAGAACGCUAGAGGUGAUUCCUGAACACGGCCAGCACCAAAAGUCUUCCAGUCACGGCAAAGUCAGUCGGCACAUCCGUGCUGCCGAGGGAACGAGCGGUGCGUGGAUGGAAGAAGGUAAUGCUGAUGACAGGCUCUGGCGGAACUUGGGGACACCUGGUUCAGGAGCAGCUGAAAACCACUGUUGCCGUCUCACCCUAGAGCAGGGGCAAGCAGGUCAAGAAGCACGAAAAAGUACUUUUUGGGCACGCUGAUAAGCUCUUUUCCUGCUCCAGCAUCUUCUUUAAGUACCAUUACAUGAGCUUCCUCCGACGUUUGCAAGCUGAAGCAGAGUUGGAGAGAACAAGGGUUUCAAAGAUCGCUUGCAAGCAAUGAUGUUGGACACAAGGUGGCAGGUUACCACGCUCAUAUGGAGAAGCCGGAUUCUAUUUCUGGAAGCGCAGAGACGCAAGGGAACUUCAAAAAGCAGGCAAGUGAGUUCUCGUGAAAAACACAAAGGGCAAAAUUGGAGCGGAAGCAGCAGCACACGUGGUCCUUCGCCUGAACAGAGGCAGAUGUCCAGGCCUUAGGUUGGGACCUGAGUUGGGGAAACGGCUAAAAGGCAUCCAGGCUCUCUGCAUUUUUUGGAUGUGGGCCACAGCCUACCUGGUUCAUACCAAGCGGGGUCAGAAAGGCAGAUUUGCUUACGUGGUUUAUUAACUGUUGGAAAGGAAAAAAACCAGUAGGAGCUGCUGAGGCAUCCAAGCCCCAGAAGCACGUUGUCAACACAAUCCCAGCUGUGGAGGGGUCAGCAGAGGAUGCAUGGAUAACUGCAAGAUUAUUUUCAAGGACUAGCAUGUAGAUUUAGACUCUGUUUGAAAAUCGAAAUCACCACCAUCAUUCAUCCAGCAGACCUUUCCCAGCACAUGCGCAGGGCAGUGUUCAUUUACAUGGAAAUACUUGCGACGGAUCCUCUGUUGGCUUCACACGGGACAACUAUCUGGCUCCAGGACUAACCCAGGGAAAUCGCAAGUCAAGAGUGUUGCACAGGAGAGCUGACUUCUCAGAAAAAUAUCGCCACCAGCACCACCUCCAUGGGAACACCGAGGCUCAAGGCAGACAGCGGGCCCGUUGCUUCAAAAAGUGAAUCAUCAUAGAAUGAACAGUUGUUAGUUUCUACCGGAAGAGCCAGCCUGGACACUGAGUUGAGACGCAUGUAUCUAAUGAGAGAAUAAUAAAUGCCCAUCCUGGCCUGAAAUUGAAUUAUUG
rnacentral:lncRNA from 1 species